rnacentral:rRNA from 1 species
GGUACUCGGUAGGGUGGCUGGAUGCCCCCUAGCUCAAAGGUCCGCCGCCACAGGAUGGGUCUGCGGCCGAUUAGGUUGUUGUUGGGGUAACGGCCCAACAAGCCUUUGAUCGGUACGGGUUGUGGGAGCAAGAGCCCGGAGAUGGAUUCUGAGACACGAAUCCAGGCCCUACGGGGCGCAGCAGGCGCGAAAACUUUACAAUGCGAGAAAUCGUGAUAAGGGAACCCCGAGUGCCCGUAAAUUCGGGCUGUCCGCCAGUGCAAAAAACUGGUGAAGAAAGAGCCGGGCAAGACCGGUGCCAGCCGCCGCGGUAAUACCGGCGGCUCGAGUGGUGGCCACUAUUACUGGGCUUAAAGCGUCCGUAGCUUGGUUGUUAAGUCUCCUGGGAAAUCCAUCGGCUCAACCGAUGGGCGUUCAGGAGAUACUGGCAACCUAGGGACCGGGAGAGGUGAGAGGUACUCCAGGGGUAGGAGUGAAAUCCUGUAAUCCUUGGGGGACCACCUGUGGCGAAGGCGUCUCACUAGAACGGCUCCGACAGUGAGGGACGAAAGCUGGGGGAGCAAACCGGAUUAGAUACCCGGGUAGUCCCAGCUGUAAACGAUGCGCGUUAGGUGUAUCGGUGACCACGAGUCACCGAGGUGCCGAAGGGA